rnacentral:rRNA from 1 species
UACGGAGGAUGCAAGCGUUAUCCGGAAUGAUUGGGCGUAAAGCGUCCGCAGGUGGCUGUGUAAGUCUGCUGUUAAAGAGUGAGGCUCAACCUCAUAAAAGCAGUGGAAACUACACGGCUAGAGUGCGUUCGGGGCAGAGGGAAUUCCUGGUGUAGCGGUGAAAUGCGUAGAUAUCAGGAAGAACACCGGUGGCGAAAGCGCUCUGCUAGGCCGCAACUGACACUGAGACACGAAGGCCAGGGGAGCAAACGGG